rnacentral:lncRNA from 1 species
CUCUACCGGCGGGAUUUGAUGGCGUGAUGUCUCACAGAAAGUUCUCCGCUCCCAGACAUGGGUCCCUCGGCUUCCUGCCUCGGAAGCGCAGCAGCAGGCAUCGUGGGAAGGUGAAGAGCUUCCCUAAGGAUGACCCGUCCAAGCCGGUCCACCUCACAGCCUUCCUGGGAUACAAGGCUGGCAUGACUCACAUCGUGCGGGAAGUCGACAGGCCGGGAUCCAGUAUGUACAGACAUCCUAAAAGUUGGGGGAAUAGGAGUGGAGGGGGAGGGAAAUUGUAGAGAUGGAGUCAAGCUGUUAGCAGAGGGCAGACUUUUUUUUUUAAGCAGGAGUUACACGUUGUCAGAACUGCUGCGACAGCAGAAUGGGAAUGCUUAACUUGAAAACUAAUAUUCCAAGGCUACAGAUGGUCAGCACUGUUUGCUUUAGGUGCGGUGUGGGGUAUUGAUUUCAGAGCAUAGUAAAUUUGCCAGGAACCUUAGCAAAGAGAAGUUAACACUAGUGUGGGGGGUUGGAGCUGCUGAGGCUGGCAUAAGAACUGCCUCAUUCAUGUUUUUUUCACCUGAAAGCUUGAAUAAUGGCCACUUACCUGUGUGUGUUCUACUUAGAGAUGUCUAACAGCACUGGUUGCUGAGCCAUGGAGACAUUAAUGUUAGGCAGUUGAUACUGACUAAUCUCUGAGCUCAGAGCUAUUGUUAGGGCACUGAAUUUUCCAGAUAAAUAGCAAUCUUGUCUGCCUCCAGAGGUUUCUGUAGAAGAGAAUUGAA